AUUGAACGCUGGCGGCAGGCCUAGCACAUGCAAGUCGAGCGGAUGAAGGGAGCUUGCUCCUGGAUUCAGCGGCGGACGGGGGAGUAAUGCCUAGGAAUCUGCCUGGUAGUGGGGGAUAACGUCCGGAAACGGGCGCUAAUACCGCAUACGUCCUGAGGGAGAAAGUGGGGGAGCUUCGGACCUCACGCUAUCAGAGGAGCCUAGGUCGGAUUAGCUAGUUGGUGGGGUAAAGGCCUACCAAGGCGACGAUCCGUAACUGGUCUGAGAGGAUGAUCAGUCACACUGGAACUGAGACACGGUCCAGACUCCUACGGGAGGCAGCAGUGGGGAAUAUUGGACAAUGGGCGAAAGCCUGAUCCAGCCAUGCCGCGUGUGUGAAGAAGGUCUUCGGAUUGUAAAGCACUUUAAGUUGGGAGGAAGGGCAGUAAGUUAAUACCUUGCUGUUUUGACGUUACCAACAGAAUAAGCACCGGCUAACUUCGUG
rnacentral:rRNA from 1 species